AAGGUAGAAACUCUGUCCUCUCCCCCACACCUUUGGAAUCAAUGUAUAUGGGUGGGGAGUCCAGGAAUCUGUAUUUUUAAACCUCUCCC
rnacentral:miRNA from 1 species